UAGCAUGCUUUGGGUAACAGAAAAGAGGCUGGGACACCUGCAGCAACGUGACAGAGAGAAGAGAGACAGAAUUAGGAAAUUUGGAUUUGACACUUAAUGUGGUAAGAGUCACAGGAGGGUUUUAAGCAUUAGAGUCAUGGGACUCAACUACGAUUUUCCUCCUGAUGCUUGGACUACUUGACCUCUCAUUCUCUCAAGGUCUCACUCAAUUCAAGACUCCCUCCUCAUGAGGCUCUGUCCUUCAAAUUGUAACUCACUUAAUUUUGUUCUUAGCCCUUAAUCACAUAUAACACCCCACAGAAUGUCUAACUUCAUCUACUCGUCAUUGCCAUAUCUAACUCAUGGCAGAUGCUCAAUAUAAGCUUGUUGAAUGUAUAAAACUAAGGCUUAAAAUCAGUUCGGGGGCUCCAGUUAAGAGUGAGUACUAUUCUUCCAAAGGACCAGACAGUUCACAGCAGUCACUCAACAGCGGCUAACACCGAUCUCCAGGGAAUCCAAAGUCAACACAAACAUCUAUACCCCCAUACACACACACACACACACACACACACACACACACACACACACACACACCAGUCACAGGCACACCUGAAUACACACUAUUAAAAAUAUUUUUUUAAAAAUCAAUUUGAGUAGCAAGGCUAAAUUAUGACGAGGGCAACUAUAACGGUCCAAGGAAGAGAGAGCAGGGUCACCUGAGGGCUGGUAGCCUGGGGGUUUCCCUUGAGGCUACACCUAACAGGUUAGAUGAGGAAAAUGUUUGCAUUGACGAGAGAAAACAUAACAUUUUCCUACCGGACAGAGAACUGAAGGGAAUACAGUACCCAGAAGAAGGGGGAGGCUAUAGCAUUCUCUUGAUUGCUCUGUAGUGAGGGCUUUGAGAAGUCCAAUGUGACAAAUCAGAUUUUGACCAGAACACUAGAAUACUGUAGUGUCACCUGAAAGGUCACUAUCACACCAGCAUCUUUUUUUUUUCUUUUUUAAAUCAGGAUGCUUAAGAUCCAAGUCGGGUUUUACAUUUUUGUAAGCCCUACUGAGUACUACACCCACCACCACCACCAUAAAUUAAUCUCCCGCUCUGUUCCUCUAGCAGCGCAUCUUAACAUGUAAAAUCGCGGGCUGUCAGAAUCAAACAUGUGAACUGAACCACAGCUCCAUCACCUGUGUGUCACCUCGAUCAAGUUACUUAAACCUCUCUGAGCUGGUUCCUUGGCUGUGAUGAGUAACACUUACUGCUAUUGCUUUACCUCAAGGGACCGUGAGCCCUGAAAGAUUGCUGGUAGCUGCUUUCACGUCCCUAGCUGGUGGCAGCAAUCACAAUGAUUGAUUAAGUACACCUCGCGUCGGAGCAACAGCUUCAACUGAGACUCCAUGACAGGUAAAGCGGUUAGCUUGCUUUGGUUCAAGCUUUCCUCACUGGCCAGCAGGCAUUUCAGAUGCUUUGCUAAACUCGGGCCUUAAGGGGAUGAAUUUGACCAAACCCAAGGGAAACGCCAAAGCGCCAGUCAAUAUGGAUGAAAUUCCCCUCGCCUUGAGCUUUUCCACAUAGCAAGAUCGAAAGCUCUUCCCAAAAAAGCGGGCAUUCUGUUCCAACCCGGUGACCGAACGGGUCCCGAAUCCGUUAUUGUGCAAACAAGGCGCCCAGGGCUGUCGGGAAGCAGGGUAGACUCGGACAUUCGGACUCUGGCGUGAGGGCCCGGGAGGUGGGGAUCUAGGGGCAACAUGGGCGAAGGGUGGGAUUACCCGACUGCCGCUGUCGCCUGGAUGGUCUCCGCGGCCGUCCCGGGCGAAGUCGGCGCGGGACUCGCCUCGAAUGCUGCCUCGGAAGCCACCCAGGCCAGGAGAAUAAAAGCAUCCAACUGAGGAAUCCCGAGACCACUGGGCAUGUGAGACAUCAGAAGAAAAAGGACGGAACUUCAAGACCGGAUGUCCCAAGAAACGGAGUAAAUGGGCCAAGCGGUAUCACCCACCUCCCGCUGUUCUCUGCUGCCCCCUACAGACAUAAGUGGCAAAUGGUCUUUAUAUGGUCCCAAUUCAAUCAACAAUCAAAGCUGCCUUUGGUUGGAGCCAGUAAACACUGACUGAAAACAA